GUGCUCGCUUCGGCAGCACAGAUACUAAAAUUGGAACGAUUCAGAGAAGAUUAGCAUGGCCCCUGCACAAGGAUGACACACAAAUUCGUUAAGUGUUCCGUAAAAAA
ensembl:snRNA U6 U6 spliceosomal RNA